rnacentral:rRNA from 1 species
UCCCAGACUCCUACGGGAGGCAGCAGUGGGGGAUAUUGCACAAUGGGGGAAACCCUGAUGCAGCGACGCCGCGUGGGCGAAGAAGUCUUUCGGUAUGUAAAGCCCUAUCAGCAGGGAAGAAGAAAUGACGGUACCUGAGUAAGAAGCACCGGCUAAAUACGUGCCAGCAGCCGCGGUAAUACGUAUGGUGCAAGCGUUAUCCGGAUUUACUGGGUGUAAAGGGAGCGCAGGCGGCACGGCAAGCCUGAUGUGAAAGCCCGCGGCCCAACCCCGGGACUGCCCUUGGAACUGCAUGGCUGGAGUGCGGGAGGGGCAGGCGGAAUUCCUGGUGUAGCGGUGAAAUGCGUAGAUAUACGGAGGAACACCAGUGGCGAAGGCGGAUUGCUGGACAGUAACUGACGCUGAGGCGCGAAAGCGUGGGGAGCAAACAGGAUUAGAUACCCCCGUAUA